GAGCCAGCCCGAAUCUUGAUCUCUUCUUGAUCUGGAUUGGCCUUAUAAGGACCAAAAAACGUGGAAUGGUUGAAUAAACAAAACGUGGACUUGUUUAACAGGACCAUAUGUUCAUGUGCUUGGAACAGUUAUCUGCGGUUUUGUUCAACUCCAAUCAGUGAAUCUUCUAAAAUAAACAUUGGGUUUCUCUUACAAAAUCCCAAAAAUAAGACCAAAAAAAAAAACCCAUUCAAGAAAAUCUCAGUUCCACUUCAUCUCGAUUCUAUUCUUGCUUCUCGAUUUGCUGUUGAAUGAUGGAUUUCAGUAGUAUGGAUCGUGGACAGAUUACCCUAUUGGGGUGUGGAUUCUGUGUGCUGCUUUCACUGCAUUUUACAGUGCAGCUUUUAUCUCAACAUCUUUUUUACUGGAAAAACCCAAAGGAACAGAAGGCCAUAAUAAUUAUCAUCCUUAUGGCUCCCAUAUAUGCUGCUGAUUCCUACAUGGGUUUGUUGGAUAUCCAGGGGAGUAAAGCAUUCUUCACGUUUUUGGAUUCAGUUAAGGAAUGCUAUGAGGCUUUGGUAAUUGCCAAGUUCUUGGCAUUGAUGUAUAGUUACCUGAAAAUAUCCAUUAGCAAAAAUAUUGUGCCAGAUGAGGUCAAAGGAAGAGAAAUUCACCAUUCCUUCCCAAUGACACUUUUUGUGCCUCGCACAGCGCGGCUAGACCACCGUAAUUUAGUGCUCCUCAAACACUGGACAUGGCAAUUUGUCAUCAUUCGCCCAAUAUGUUCCAUCUUGAUGAUAACACUGCAAAUGCUUGGGAUUUACCCUAGUUGGUUGAGUUGGACAUUCACCAUUAUCCUUAACAUUUCGGUUUCAGUGGCUCUGUACUCUCUGGUGUUGUUUUACCAUGUGUUUGCAAAAGAAUUGGCACCACACAAGCCUCUUGCAAAGUUCCUAUGCAUCAAGGGGGUUGUCUUCUUUUGCUUUUGGCAGGGCAUAGUGCUUGAUAUGCUUGUUUCGGCGGGCAUCAUUCGGUCUCAUCAUUUUUGGUUGGAUGUGGAGCACAUUGAAGAAGCUUUUCAGAAUGUCUUGGUAAUUUUGGAGAUGGUUGUCUUCUCUGUUCUCCAACAGUAUGCAUACCAUGUUGCACCUUAUAGUGGAGAAGUGGAAACAAAAAUGCUGAAAAAAAGAGAGUGAUUUGUCCAGAAUUCCAGACCAUGGAGGGGACAAGGCACAACACAUGCUAGGAAAUGCAUUUCCAUAGGUUUUCUAGCUGAGGUUGUUGGCACCAAUGUAAAAGCAGCUGGAAAAAGGAUACUAUUGGUCUUCAAGAAGGACUUGAAUGCUACUGUUUCCAUAGGAUUUUCCGGUGAUAUUAGUUUUAUGGAGGGAUAAUUAAACUAUUGGUACAUCAAUUUUCACUUUUUUCUCAAUCGAGUAUCUGAGUUUUAAUUAUUUUCAUUCUAGUACAUCAACUUUUUUAAGACUUCCAAUCCAUCAAAAUUCUGUUAA